AAAUCAUAGCUAUUGACUUCCUGCGAAAACUUUGCCAUUGGCAAUUUGGGAUUCAGAUUUUGUCUCAGACAAGUUUUCUUUCGCACGUGUGGGUGUCUCCCAUUCAGAUUUCUCACUCGCACACGCAUUUACAAGCCUGCAUUCCUCGCCUCUCUCGUGCUCUUUGCUCUUCGCUUCUCCGACUGUUUUUCAGUAGUUUCUUACUAGAGCAUCAAAGAUGGAGCUGAACAGCAUUAGAGAUGCAUUUGACCGUGUAUCUAAGAAGCAAAAGUUAUCUACCUCCAAGUUCCAAGAAGUCAUUGAUCAGGUGGGGCUUGAAAUUAAGCAGGCUUUGGCAAAAAUUCAGUCAGCCAAUGAUUCAGCCCCUGUUGACCAGAAAUCUAUACUUACAGACCUCAAGUUUAAACUUAAUGCUAUUGGGGUGCUUCAACAGUUUGAAGGACCACAGAAAGAAUUGAACAUAAGUCUUACCAAGUACCAAAAGCUUCUGGAGAAAUCCUUAAAUCCUGAUGUAUCCAAGGCAUACAGAAAUGUUGACUUUGACUUUCACAUUGUGAAUCAGAUUAUUGCAAACCAUUUUUACCGUCAAGGGCUAUUUGAUCUUGGAGAUACCAUCAUAAAUGAGGCUGGGGAAGUUAAUACAAAUUCACUAAGAUCUCAAUUCUUGGAAAUGCAUCAGAUUCUUGAGGCUAUGAGAGUUAAGAACCUUCAACCUGCUCUCACAUGGGUCUCUACCAACCAAGAUAAACUUGUCCAGAGUGGUUCCAAUCUUGAGCUUAAGCUUCAUACGCUGCAGUUUGUAGAGGUUUUGCAAAAUGGAACUCGAGCCGAUGCCUUAAAAUAUGCCCGAACUUAUCUUGCUCCUUUUGCUUCCCUCCACAAGGAUGAGUUCCAAAAGCUUAUGGGUUGCCUCUUGUAUGCAGGAAGGCUUGACAGCUCCCCUUAUUCUGAGUUGAUGUCCCAGAUCCAUUGGGAGAGGACUACCGAGGAGCUGACCCGGCAGUUCUGCAUUCUCUUGGGACAGUCCUAUGAGAGCCCAUUGAGUGUGGCAAUUGCUGCUGGAGUUGAAGGGUUGCCUACACUCUUAAAGCUGGCAAAUGUAAUGGCAGCAAAGAAGCAAGAAUGGCAGGCUAUGAAACAGUUGCCAGUGCCUGUAGAAUUGGGGAAAGAAUUUCAAUUUCAUUCUAUUUUUGUCUGCCCUGUAAGUCGUGACCAAGCGAGUGAAGAGAAUCCUCCCAUGUUGCUUCCGUGUUUACAUGUUCUUUGCAAGCAAUCAAUCAUGAAGUUGUCAAAAAGCAGCACCCGAACGUUCAAGUGUCCCUACUGUCCUGCAGAAGCUACAGUUGCACAGUGCAGACAGCUCUACUUCUGAUUUGUGUUUAUGAACAGACUCAAAAUUGGUGUGUGCAGUGCAUUUUUAGCAUUCAAAUCCCCCUGAAUUUCUGGCAUGAUGGAUUGAUUGGGAUUCAAGGACAUGGAUUGUAUAUGAAGAAAGUUACAUGGACAAUUCUGUGUGUGCGCAUUUGCAAGUUAUUAAAUUGCGCAGAGUAAUUGCAUUCAUAUUUAGGCAUUACAAACUCUGGUGUAAUGCUACAGUUGUUUAUGAUUAAUUAGAUAUUGGACGAGGAAAGGGAGUCUUGUUUUUAUCUUGAGUCACAAGAAAGAAUGUUAAUCCUGUAUAUUUUAACAGGCCUUUCAAACUGUUUUUGGUCACAUUCUCGUGU